GCGAGCGCAGACGGUUAUUUAAGUCUGAAGUGAAAGCCCUCAGCUCAACUGAGGAAUUGCUUUGGAAACUGGAUGACUUGAGUGCAGUAGAGGAAAGUGGAACUCCAUGUGUAGCGGUGAAAUGCGUAGAUAUAUGGAAGAACACCAGUGGCGAAGGCGGCUUUCUGGACUGUAACUGACGUUGAGGCUCGAAAGUGUGGGUAGCAAACAGGAUUAGAUACCCAAG
rnacentral:rRNA from 1 species